AGCCCGCUCGCCGGAAGACCAAGGGUUCCUGUCCAACGUUAAUCGGGGCAGGGUGAGUCGACCCCUAAGGCGAGGCCGAAAGGCGUAGUCGAUGGGAAACAGGUUAAUAUUCCUGUACUUGGUGUUACUGCGAAGGGGGGACGGAGAAGGCUAUGUUGGCCGGGCGACGGUUGUCCCGGUUUAAGCGUGUAGGCUGGUUUUCCAGGCAAAUCCGGAAAAUCAAGGCUGAGGCGUGAUGACGAGGCACUACGGUGCUGAAGCAACAAAUGCCCUGCUUCCAGGAAAAGCCUCUAAGCAUCAGGUAACAUCAAAUCGUACCCCAAACCGACACAGGUGGUCAGGUAGAGAAUACCAAGGCGCUUGAGAGAACUCGGGUGAAGGAACUAGGCAAAAUGGUGCCGUAACUUCGGGAGAAGGCACGCUGAUAUGUAGGUGAGGUCCCUCGCGGAUGGAGCUGAAAUCAGUCGAAGAUACCAGCUGGCUGCAACUGUUUAUUAAAAACACAGCACUGUGCAAACACGAAAGUGGACGUAUACGGUGUGACGCCUGCCCGGUGCCGGAAGGUUAAUUGAUGGGGUCAGCGCAAGCGAAGCUCUUGAUCGAAGCCCCGGUAAACGGCGGCCGUAACUAUAACGGUCCUAAGGUAGCGAAAUUCCUUGUCGGGUAAGUUCCGACCUGCACGAAUGGCGUAAUGAUGGCCAGGCUGUCUCCACCCGAGACUCAGUGAAAUUGAACUCGCUGUGAAGAUGCAGUGUACCCGCGGCAAGACGGAAAGACCCCGUGAACCUUUACUAUAGCUUGACACUGAACAUUGAGCCUUGAUGUGUAGGAUAGGUGGGAGGCUUGGAAGUGUGGACGCCAGUCUGCAUGGAGCCGACCUUGAAAUACCACCCUUUAAUGUUUGAUGUUCUAACGUUGACCCGUAAUCCGGGUUGCGGACAGUGUCUGGUGGGUAGUUUGACUGGGGCGGUCUCCUCCUAAAGAGUAACGGAGGAGCACGAAGGUUGGCUAAUCCUGGUCGGACAUCAGGAGGUUAGUGCAAUGGCAUAAGCCAGCUUGACUGCGAGCGUGACGGCGCGAGCAGGUGCGAAAGCAGGUCAUAGUGAUCCGGUGGUUCUGAAUGGAAGGGCCAUCGCUCAACGGAUAAAAGGUACUCCGGGGAUAACAGGCUGAUACCGCCCAAGAGUUCAUAUCGACGGCGGUGUUUGGCACCUCGAUGUCGGCUCAUCACAUCCUGGGGCUGAAGUAGGUCCCAAGGGUAUGGCUGUUCGCCAUUUAAAGUGGUACGCGAGCUGGGUUUAGAACGUCGUGAGACAGUUCGGUCCCUAUCUGCCGUGGGCGCUGGAGAACUGAGGGGGGCUGCUCCUAGUACGAGAGGACCGGAGUGGACGCAUCACUGGUGUUCGGGUUGUCAUGCCAAUGGCACUGCCCGGUAGCUAAAUGCGGAAGAGAUAAGUGCUGAAAGCAUCUAAGCACGAAACUUGCCCCGAGAUGAGUUCU
rnacentral:rRNA from 1 species